rnacentral:rRNA from 1 species
AACGAACGCUGGCGGCAGGCCUAACACAUGCAAGUCGAACGCCGUAGCAAUACGGAGUGGCAGACGGGUGAGUAACACGUGGGAACGUACCCUUCGGUUCGGGAUAACUCAGGGAAACUUGAGCUAAUACCGGAUACGUCCGAGAGGAGAAAGAUUUAUUGCCGAGGGAUCGGCCCGCGUCUGAUUAGCUUGUUGGUGAGGUAACGGCUCACCAAGGCGACGAUCAGUAGCUGGUCNGAGAGGA